UACGAAGGGGGCUAGCGUUGCUCGGAAUGACUGGGCGUAAAGGGCGCGUAGGCGGCUCAUUUUGUCAGGCGUGAAAGUCCUGGGCUUAACCUGGGGAUGGCGUUUGGGACGGAUGGGCUUGAGUGGGGAAGAGGGUCGUGGAAUUCCCAGUGUAGAGGUGAAAUUCGUAGAUAUUGGGAAGAACACCGGUGGCGAAGGCGGCGACCUGGUCCUUGACUGACGCUGAGGCGCGAGAGCGUGGGGAGCAAACAGG
rnacentral:rRNA from 1 species